GUGGGGAAUAUUCCGCAAUGGACGAAAGUCUGACGGAGCAACGCCGCGUGAGUGAUGAAGGUUUUCGGACUGUAAAGCUCUGUUGUUUAGGACGAAAGUGCCUGUUGCAAAUAGUUACAGGUAUUGACGGUACUAAACGAGGAAGCCACGGCUAACUACGUGCCAGCAGCCGCGGUAAUACGUAGGUGGCAAGCGUUGUCCGGAAUUAUUGGGCGUAAAGAGCAUGUAGGCGGGAAUCUAAGUCUGUUGUUAAAAUGCGGGGCUCAACCCCGUAUUGCGAUGGAAACUGGGUUUCUUGAGUGCAGGAGAGGAAAGGGGAAUUCCCAGUGUAGCGGUGAAAUGCGUAGAUAUUGGGAGGAACACCAGUGGCGAAGGCGCCUUUCUGGACUGUGUCUGACGCUGAGAUGCGAAAGCCAGGGUAGCGAACGGGAUUAGAAACCCGGGUAGUCC
rnacentral:rRNA from 1 species